rnacentral:rRNA from 1 species
GAUGAACGCUGGCGGCGUGCCUAAUACAUGCAAGUCGAGCGAACGGACGAGAAGCUUGCUUCUCUGAUGUUAGCGGCGGACGGGUGAGUAACACGUGGAUAACCUACCUAUAAGACUGGGAUAACUUCGGGAAACCGUAGCUAAUACCGGAUAAUAUUUUGAACCGCAUGGUUCAACAGUGAAAGACGGUCUUGCUGUCACUUAUAGAUGGAUCCGCGCUGCAUUAGCUAGUUGGUAAGGUAACGGCUUACCAAGGCAACGAUGCAUAGCCGACCUGAGAGGAUGAUCGGCCACACUGGAACUGAGACACGGUCCAGACUCCUACGGGAGGCAGCAGUAGGGAAUCUUCCGCAAUGGGCGAAAGCCUGACGGAGCAACGCCGCGUGAGUGAUGAAGGUCUUCGGAUCGUAAAACUCUGUUAUUAGGGAAGAACAUAUGUGUAAGUAACUGUGCACAUCUUGACGGUACCUAAUCAGAAAGCCACGGCUAACUACGUG